GCCCCGGCUAACUACGUGCCAGCAGCCGCGGUAAUACGUAGGGGGCGAGCGUUGUCCGGAAUUAUUGGGCGUAAAGGGUACGUAGGCGGCUUUUUAAGUUUGACGUGAAAGCCCGGGGCUUAACUCCGGCAAGCGUUGAAACUGGAGGGCUUGAGUGAUGGAAGGGACAGUGGAAUUCCUGGUGUAGUGGUGAAAUGCGCAGAGAUCAGGAAGAAUACCAGUGGCGAAGGCGACUGUCUGGACAUUAACUGACGCUGAGGUACGAAAGCGUGGGGAGCAAACAGGAUCAGAUACCCUGGUAGUCCACGCUGUAAACGAUGAGUGCAAGGUGUUGGGGGUCAAACCCCGGUGCCGCCGUUAACACAGUAAGUAUUCCGCCUGGGAAUUACGAUCGCA
rnacentral:rRNA from 1 species